CAGAUCAGGUAUAGAUGAUCUUCUGAAUUUCUGUAGGGUCUGUUGUGAUUUCACCUUUUUCAUUCCUUUUUUUUUUUAACCAAAACUGAACUGUUGGGAGCCGCGUCUGUGAUAGCUCGCCUUGCGCGGCGGACGUGCGGCCUGUGGUAAAGAGCAAAGCCUGAGGUAGAUUACCCCUCCCAUCGAAUAUGUUAGUUUCCUGCUUACCGCGUAAACAACCCGCUCAACAAUAUAGUCUGCCUGGCAACUGAUGAUGUUAGCCAAUCAGCUUGCCUUGCUUACUUUAACAUGAUUGGACACUGUACCCGUAUAUAUACCGGUGCCACCCCUGGGCGGAAGAAGAAGCCAGGUAGAAGCCCGGAAGUAGAAGCCCAGAAGGAGCCGCGGAGAGCGGACCAGAGGAGGCUUCGGCUGGGAGCGAUCCCAGGGCAGGCUGUACGGAGAAGGAAAAUAAAAAGAAAAGGUUGUCCACUACCAGACUUUGUCGUGUGUCCUUCCUGCCGGCCGGGAGCGGACAUCGACAUUUGGAGGCCCGCCCGGGGACUGAUCACCCCCGAGACGUGGAAGUGGACAACGCUCCAGUACAGAGCUGCGAGACAGGAACCGGGACGAGAACCACUGUGGAUACCGGAGAGACUGACACGGGCAACAAAGCCCUCGACUGAAGAUCAGACCUGCCCUACUGGAGAUCCAUCACAGACCAACCAAUAAGAUGAAUAGAAAUAGCGGUAGCCCGAAAUGGACAAGAAGAUCCUCAGGCAUAUGCAUGGCUUGCUCAAUUGGCCCACGACCGAGUCUAGAUAUGGCGGGCAUCCCUCAUUCUCCUCCAUAAGGUGACAAUACACAGCAGGGUAGGUGAGUCAAUGACGGGUAAGAGCGUGCCUCCCCAGCACGACUCGACCUAAGCCAGGCCCUACCCCAUCCUGCACGUAAGCCGCUGGACUGUUAGAUGCUGCCCAGGUCUAAAUUUCUCUCCGAGGGGAUUUCUUUACGGAGAGGAAAUGAGUGCAAGCUUGUGUGCAUCCAGGUUCCGUCCAGUUUGUGCCUGGCCCUAGAAAAAGGACGAGGGCCUCAGGGCCUUGGCAGACCAUGGCAUGGCCAACCAGGGUCUAAGCCAAGGACCUACGGUGGACCUACACAUAGGGCAUAAGCCUCUGCACCCAGUCCAGGAAGGGCUACGAUGCGCACAUUCAUAAAAAAUAAAAUAGGGGGAGAUGUUGGGAGCCGCGUCUGUGAUAGCUCGCCUUGCGCGGCGGACGUGCGGCCUGUGGUAAAGAGCAAAGCCUGAGGUAGAUUACCCCUCCCAUCGAAUAUGUUAGUUUCCUGCUUACCGCGUAAACAACCCGCUCAACAAUAUAGUCUGCCUGGCAACUGAUGAUGUUAGCCAAUCAGCUUGCCUUGCUUACUUUAACAUGAUUGGACACUGUACCCGUAUAUAUACCGGUGCCACCCCUGGGCGGAAGAAGAAGCCAGGUAGAAGCCCGGAAGUAGAAGCCCAGAAGGAGCCGCGGAGAGCGGACCGGUAGAGGCUUCGGAGCGAAGCCCGGAAGGAGCCGCGGGGAGCGGACCAGAGGAGGCUUCGGCUGGGAGCGAUCCCAGGGCAGGCUGUACGGAGAAGGAAAAUAAAAAGAAAAGGUUGUCCACUA